rnacentral:lncRNA from 1 species
UUUAGGUGGACUUUUCAAGAUUUUUUUCUGAUUUACUGUGGACAUUCUGUUUUGGUGGACCCAAAAAGUCCACGUAAAAAUAAACGCACAGAACACCUUUUAGCUGGACGUAAACGUAUCCGAAAGAACAAGUCUGUUUCGGUGGACUCAAAAAUUGUCCACCUUAGGCGCCAUCUAUCUCUAAACUAAAAAAUUUGAUGGUUCGUAGUUCCAAUAUCUGCCACAGACGGCGCCACCAUCGGCUGGCUCUGUGUUGAAGCUCGGAAACGCACGCCUUGAUCAGCGCGGGCUAGCGCGGGCAUGCAGCAAAAACGUAACAUGAUAUGAUUUAUAGUGUGGUCUGUGGAAUGUGAAGCGAUCAAAAUAGACGUUUGUUUUAUUUUUAAAAAAGUGUAAAAAUAAAUUAAUUAUAUUAUGUAUCUUAGAAACCCGUGAAUUAGAGUAUGAUGAAGUUUUGUGUAGUUGCAACAACACUGUUUUUUGUUGCGGUGUUAUCGGCGCGGCACGGCUCACCACGUGGCGGUGUCAGUGUUGGGAUUUGGAAGAGAUAAAGCUUUGGGUGGUACUAAUUUGUGUUUUUUUUGUGCUGGGAGCUUUUUGAAGUCUGUGAGGUAGCUUGGAUGUUCAGGCCACUUUGAUAGUCCAAGAUGCUGUCUGGUACUAAUGUACGCAAGAAGCGACCAGCAGCUGUUACUUCUGGACGAAGGAGGAAAGUGGCGAAAACUGUUCAGGAUCUCUAUUUUGUGGAAAGAAUAUUAGCCCACCAGUGGAAAGACGGCAACAUGAUGUACCUCAUCAAGUGGCAAGGUUUCAGGAUGCCUACGUGGGAGCCAGCGCAGAACCUGAAUCCUGUGAUCCUUCAAAAGUACCACGGUAAGAGCCAUACAUUAUGCAUUCCAGUUAGCUAAACAAAUCUACGGCUUGUGUUUUUUAUUGGGUUUAGGUGCAUGCAAUUGUGACUUAAAAGAGCGUUUAAUUUUUCAGUCGUUGCUUGUUUUGUUGUGCUUUAUCCCAUGUUUGGUUUUUGAUGGACUCCAUCCUUUAUAAGAGCUUUCUACAUCAAUUUAUGAUGCGAUUUUGUUUUCUUGAACGCUGCGAAAGUCAGUGGGUGGUUUCCCCAGGGCGUGUGACUGGUCUGCCCAUUGCGUGUCAUAUGAGCCAAAUGAUGUGGCAGUCGGGUGCCCCUAAAACCAAAAUCAUUAAUUGCCGUGUGUGUACUGUGUACCUAUAUUUGUGCCUUGUGAUUGUGUAUGUACAAGGGGGGUGUUUGAACACCCCUCCCCCCUGUGGUUUUUCGCGAAU